AAUGAACGCUGGCGGCGUGCCUAACACAUGCAAGUCGCACGAGAAAGACUGUUUUCGGACGGUCGAGUAAAGUGGCGCACGGGUGAGUAGCGCGUAGGUAACCUACCUCUGUAUUGGGGAUAACCCCGCGAAAGCGGGGCUAAUACCGGAUGAGACCCUGGGAUGGUGGUCUUGGGGUGAAAGCGGGCCUCUCGAAGAAGCUCGCGUACGGGGAUGGGCCUGCGUCCUAUCAGCUAGUUGGUGGGGUAAUGGCCUACCAAGGCGACGACGGGUAGCUGGUCUGAGAGGAUGAUCAGCCACACUGGCACUGGAACACGGGCCAGACUCCUACGGGAGGCAGCAGUGAGGAAUUUUGCGCAAUGGCCGCAAGGCUGACGCAGCAACGCCGCGUGGGUGAUGA
rnacentral:rRNA from 1 species